AGAGUUUGAUCCUGGCUCAGAAUCAACGCUGGCGGCGUGCCUAACACAUGCAAGUCGCGCGCGAAAGGGGGGCAACCCCCAAGUAGAGCGGCGCACGGGUGAGUAACGCGUGGGUGAUCUGCCUCCGAGUGGGGAGUAACAGCGGGAAACUGCUGCUAAUACCGCAUGACAUCCUCGGUUCACACUGAGGAUCAAAGCCGGGGACCGCAAGGCCUGGCGCUUGGAGAUGAGCCCGCGUCCGAUUAGCUAGUUGGCGGGGUAACGGCCCACCAAGGCGACGAUCGGUAGCCGGCCUGAGAGGGCGGACGGCCACACUGGGACUGAGACACGGCCCAGACUCCUACGGGAGGCAGCAGUGGGGAAUUUUUCGCAAUGGGGGAAACCCUGACGAAGCAACGCCGCGUGGAGGAUGAAGGCCUUCGGGUCGUAAACUCCUGUCGACUGGGAAGAAUGCACCUGACCUAAUACGCCAAAGUGUUGACUGUACCGGUGGAGGAAGCCACGGCUAACUCUGUGCCAGCAGCCGCGGUAAUACAGAGGUGGCAAGCGUUGUUCGGAAUUACUGGGCGUAAAGGGCGCGUAGGCGGCCCGUCAAGUCCCGUGUGAAAGCCCCCGGCUCAACCGGGGAACGGCGCGGGAAACUAGCAGGCUUGAGUUCGGGAGAGGGAAGCGGAAUUCCGGGUGUAGCGGUGAAAUGCGCAGAUAUCCGGAGGAACACCGGUGGCGAAGGCGGCUUCCUGGACCGACACGGACGCUGAGGCGCGAAAGCUAGGGGAGCAAACGGGAUUAGAUACCCCGGU
rnacentral:rRNA from 1 species